GACGAACGCUGGCGGUGUGCUUAAUACAUGCAAGUCGAACGGUAAGGCCCUUUCGGGGGUACACGAGUGGCGAACGGGUGAGUAACACGUGAGUAACCUGCCCUCAUCUCUGGGAUAACAGUCGGAAACGGUUGCCAAUACUGGAUAUGAGCUUGCAUGGCAUCUUGUGGGUUGGAAAGAUUUUUUUUGGUUGGUGAUGGAGUCGCGGCCUAUCCGCUUGUUGUUGAGGUAGUGGCUCACCAAGGCUUCGACGGGUAGCCGGCCUGCGAGGGCGAAGGGCCAGAUUGGAAUUGUGAGACAGCCCGAACUCGUGCAGGAUGCAGCAGGGGGGAAUAUUGGACGAUGGAAGGAAGCCUGAGGCAUGAACGUCGCGGGCUGGAUGACGGCCUUCGGGUGGUAAGCCGAUUUGAAUAGGUACGUAGCUUUGUCGUGACGGUAGCAAUAGAAGAAGCACCGGCUAACUACGUG
rnacentral:rRNA from 1 species